rnacentral:rRNA from 1 species
AGGAAUAUUGGUCAAUGGACGAGAGUCUGAACUAGCCAAGUAGCGUGAAGGAUGACUGCCCUAUGGGUUGUAAACUUCUUUUAUAUGGGAAUAAAGUGGUCCACGUGUGGAUUUUUGUAUGUACCAUAUGAAUAAGGAUCGGCUAACUCCGUGCCAGCAGCCGCGGUAAUACGGAGGAUCCGAGCGUUAUCCGGAUUUAUUGGGUUUAAAGGGAGCGUAGGUGGACAGUUAAGUCAGUUGUGAAAGUUUGCGGCUCAACCGUAAAAUUGCAGUUGAUACUGGCUGUCUUGAGUACAGUAGAGGUGGGCGGAAUUCGUGGUGUAGCGGUGAAAUGCUUAGAUAUCACGAAGAACUCCGAUUGCGAAGGCAGCCUGCUAAGCUGCAACUGACAUUGAGGCUCGAAAGUGUGGGUAUCAAACAGGAUUAGAUACCCUGGUAGUCCACACGGUAAACGAUGAAUACUCGCUGUUUGCGAUAUACGGCAAGCGGCCAAGCGAAAGCGUUAAGUAUUCCACCUGGGGAGUACGCCGGCAACGGUGAAACUCAAAGGAAUUGACGGGGGCCCGCACAAGCGGAGGAACAUGUGGUUUAAUUCGAUGAUACGCGAGGAACCUUACCCGGGCUUAAAUUGCAGAUGAAUUACGGUGAAAGCCGUAAGCCGCAAGGCAUCUGUGAAGGUGCUGCAUGGUUGUCGUCAGCUCGUGCCGUGAGGUGUCGGCUCAAGUGCCAUAACGAGCGCAACCCCUGUCCAUAGUUGCCAUCAGGUCGUGCUGGGCACUCUGUGGAGACUGCCGCCGUAAGGUGUGAGGAAGGUGGGGAUGACGUCAAAUCAGCACGGCCCUUACGUCCGGGGCUACACACGUGUUACAAUGGUAGGUACAGAGGGCAGCUACCCAGUGAUGGGAUGCGAAUCUCGAAAGCCUAUCUCAGUUCGGAUCGGAGGCUGAAACCCGCCUCCGUGAAGUUGGAUUCGCUAGUAAUCGCGCAUCAGCCAUGGCGCGGUGAAUACGUUCCCG